UACGUAGGGGGCAAGCGUUGUCCGGAAUCAUUGGGCGUAAAGUGCGUGUAGGCGGCUCGAUAAGUCUGCUGUGAAAGUCCAGGGCUCAACCCUGGGAUGCCGGUGGAUACUGUCGAGCUCGAGUCCGGAAGAGGCGAGUGGAAUUCCUGGUGUAGCGGUGAAAUGCGCAGAUAUCAGGAGGAACACCAAUGGCGAAGGCAGCUCGCUGGGACGUGACUGACGCUGAGACGCGAAAGCGUGGGGAGCAAACAGG
rnacentral:rRNA from 1 species